GGAUAUGAGAUUGAUAUGACUGCAAUACCUGUCACCCCAUUGAUGGUCAGGGUUGAGCCAGUCGAUCUGGCCUGUGUCCCCGUCCUCCCUCACCACUCCAUGUGUGUCCCUCCCAAAGCUGUGUACUCAGUUGAAGAGGAUGACCUUCCCUGACAGAGGAGGACUGCUCUUUGGUAGUUGCUCUUCCCUGCUAGAACUCCCAAACAAGCUCUCAAAAGCAUAUCCAUCAAUCUCCCUCUAUUUGUAGAGUUUCUGAAGUUUCUCUAGCUGUUCUAGUUUCAUUCCAUUAUGACCUGAGACGAUGCAAGAAAUUAUUUCAGGUUUUUUGUG
rnacentral:snRNA from 1 species